rnacentral:rRNA from 1 species
CUGCUGCCUCCCGUAGGAGUUUGGUCCGUGUCUCAGUACCAAUGUGGGGGGUUAACCUCUCAGUCCCCCUAUGUAUCGUCGCCUUGGUGAGCCGUUACCUCACCAACCAGCUAAUACAACGCAUGCCCAUCAUCAACCACCGGAGUUUUCAACCCCAUGCGAUGCCGCAUGAGAUAUUAUGGGGUAUUAGUACCAAUUUCUCAGUGUUAUCCCCCUGUUGAUGGUAGGUUGCAUACGCGUUACGCACCCGUGCCGG